rnacentral:rRNA from 1 species
UACGUAGGGGGGCAAGCGUUGUCCGGAAUCAUUGGGCGUAAAGAGCGCGUAGGCGGCCCUGUAAGUCCGCUGUGAAAAGUCGGGGGGCUCAACCCUCGGAUGCCGGUGGAUACUGUCGGGCUUGAGUACGGAAGAGGCGAGUGGAAUUCCUGGUGUAGCGGUGAAAUGCGCAGAUAUCAGGAGGAACACCAAUUGCGAAGGCAGCUCGCUGGGACGUUACUGACGCUGAGACGCGAAAGCGUGGGGAGCAAACAGG